rnacentral:rRNA from 1 species
ACGAAAGUCUGACGGAGCAACGCCGCGUGAGUGAUGACGGCCUUCGGGUUGUAAAGCUCUGUUAAUCGGGACGAAAGGUACUCUUGCGAAUAGUUAGAGGAAUUGACGGUACCGGAAUAGAAAGCCACGGCUAACUACGUGCCAGCAGCCGCGGUAAUACGUAGGUGGCAAGCGUUGUCCGGAAUUAUUGGGCGUAAAGCGCGCGCAGGCGGAUUAGUCAGUCUGUCUUAAAAGUUCGGGGCUUAACCCCGUGAUGGGAUGGAAACUGCUGAUCUAGAGUAUCGGAGAGGAAAGUGGAAUUCCUAGUGUAGCGGUGAAAUGCGUAGAUAUUAGGAAGAACACCAGUGGCGAAGGCGACUUUCUGGACGAAAACUGACGCUGAGGCGCGAAAGCCAGGGGAGCG